CGUUUAAGUCAGUAAUAUCUGCUGAAUGAGCUGCGAGGAGUAUCUGCUGUCAGUCUAGGUUUAGUUUUCGUAAUAUUACACCGAGCAGCGCAUUUAUAAGUCCUCUUUCAACACAUAUCCUCUUCCUGUACCUUGGCCAUCAGUGCGUCUUCGUUGCUCAGAGACAGCAGCGCAUCACAGGUGUGGUAAAUAAAGACGCGACUCUAAUUUCUUCACCUCACUCACCCACAUACACACACACACCAGACGUGUGAAGAGAGAGAGCAAACGUCCUCACUCUUCUCCGUCUUCUCGCUGUCCGCUGCAGAACACUUGCUCCUAUAAAGAGAACGGUGGAUACUGGCUUCAGCGCGCGAACAUCUGCUGCUACAGCAAUGCAGGAGUGAGGAGACGCGAUGUAUAGAGCAGUGAGGGAGCAAAACCCGGAGCGGAGUCCAGACUCUUCACCGGAAUGGAGUGCGGAGACCCUUGGAAACGACGCGUCAUCCUCACCUGCCACUACCUGUCCCCGCCAUCUCCACUCAGUCAGCCAAAUGUCACAAAACAGAAACUGAAAUAUCAAAUGACGGGCGGAAGGAAGGAGCUUCUGAGAUGUUGUCCUCUGAGGUGGAGCGAACAUCGUGCAGUCCUGCUCUCCUGGACUCACACCAUUCCAGAUGACAGCUAACCUUCAGAGACUCAACGGGGACAGAUUACAGCUUCAUAUGUUUGUCACAAGAUAUCAUGCACUAGUUUGACAGUAAUUCAACCUGUUCCAUGCUGCCACAUCAUUUCAGACCCAAAAGAG
rnacentral:lncRNA from 12 species